rnacentral:lncRNA from 1 species
CCACAAAUCAGAUCUAAAUGCUCUAAGUUGAUGCUUAUGCUUCAUACCUGAGCUAUUGGAUCUUGAUUAGCACUCGGGGACCCUCCCCUAUGGUCGAUGCGAAGUUCAUGGAACUUCAUAACGUGAGCGUGAUCACGAUGGUUAUGGUGCCGUUGAUAUCCCGUGAUCUUUAGCAUUAUCUGGUUAUUCUACAAGAACUCAAAGCAAUCUCAGGAGCUAUUCCAUAGGACGAUGAUCAUGAUUCUAGGGCGGACCUGUGCCUUAGAGCCUAAAAAUGAAGUUUGAACUAGCUUAAUUAUGUUUUGAAUAUCCGUACUCUCUUUCCAAGACAAUGUAACACCUUUGUUUAUAAAUAAAAUACAACUUGUAUGC